rnacentral:lncRNA from 1 species
GUAGGUGUAAAGCUGACCUGAACUUGGGGGUAAUUUGGGUAGGAUUGCAUUUGAUAGGGAUUUCUCAGCCCUGGAAACUCGAUGGUGUGCCCUCAUGUGACCAUGUGUGCUUGCCUCUCUCAGAGACAGUGUGAUGUACAAUCAGGAAACCAUGCAGAUUGCUGUGAAGAAAGUAAAGCGUUUGUUGGCGGAUCUAGGAGGGACUGAACUUUUAACACCACUACGGAAAAUUUUUAGGAAACCCCCAAUCCCAGGGCAUCCCUUACAGGUAAGAAUUGGACCAAAUUUAACAGAAGGGGGCAGAGAGAAUGAAAAUUCUCCUUAAGAACAUAUAUUCUUGAAUGUCAUGAAAAAUGACGGAAACACUGUAUGUACUCCAGGCUUCUGCUAUAUAGGAGAGAGAAAUAAAAAUAAGAGGUACUUGUCUUCUUAACUUAAACAAAACUAGUGUGUUAAUGGCUGAAACUCCCAGAGAUUUUGUGCUAACACCAUGCAAACAUAGUAAGAUAAAGAACAACACUGGAAAAUAGUGAUCUACCUGUUUAAAGAGGCACCACAGAAUUUGAAUUGUUUCAAGGGUUAAGUUCUAUUCUCUUAAAAUGAACUUGACAGUAACUUGAUGGAUAUUCUAUUGUUUGCUUUGUGCAGGUCUUUGUCUUCACUGAUGGAGAAGUUGUUGAAACUUUUAGUGUAAUCAGAGAAGUUAUGUUCCAGAGCAAGAAGCACAGGUAUAAGGUGGUCUCCAUUUCUACUGGGGAAACACAGGGAUUUUAACAAGGCCAAACUGUAGCCAAGCAUUACCUGAUACUAAGAACUUGGAAGACUUAUCAAGUGAUUACUUAUUUUCUAUGAAAAUAAAAAACAGUACUCCAAAUAACAUCAACUAUGUAAAAAACUAAUUUAUCCUUAUCUUUUUGAACCUAUUGAGUGUGUAUGUCCCCAGAGGGUUCUGUCCACAACUCUGUGACAAGGGACACUGCUCUUUGAAAGCCCAUGUUUAGAUUUUACCUGUUUAUCUAUUCUUGCUAUUUGUUCCAGAAGGUAAAUUGAUGCCUUCUGAGAUCUUCACCCAAGUUAUUACUAUCUUUGUAGUCAUAGAAUUUAGGUGUCUUAGUUCCUUUAAUGUUUUCAAAUAGUACUUGUUGAAAUUACUUUGUAGAAAUUCCAGCAUAAAUGGGAGAAGGAGUCACUCCCAUUGAGUGAAGCUUUGGCGAAUGAGCAUUGUUAGGGCAGGAAAGUCAGUUUGUUUAGAGCAGUGGCCACUGGUAGGUUGCCCAUGUGCCAGAGGGUGUUUUUAUAUCCAUAUACACAUGGAGAGCACUGAGUGGACUCUGUGUGUUU